rnacentral:sRNA from 1 species
GCUGGGCAUGGUGAUGCACGCCUGUAAUCCCAGCAGCUCAGGAGGCUUGAGGCAGGAGGAUUGAGAGUUCAAAGCCAGCCUCAGCAAAAGGGAGCUGCUAAGCAACUCAGUGAGACCCUGUCUCUA